rnacentral:rRNA from 1 species
GAUGAACGCUGGCGGCGCGCCUAACACAUGCAAGUCGAACGAUUAAAGCACCUUCGGGUGUGUAUAAAGUGGCGAACGGCUGAGUAACACGUGGGCAACCUGCCCCUCUCAUUGGGAUAGCCACGGGAAACCGUGGAUAAUACCGAAUACUUCGGGACUUCCGCAUGGAAGACUCGAGAAAGCUCCGGCGGGGAGGGAUGGGCCCGCGGCCUGUUAGCUUGUUGGUGGGGUAAUGGCCUACCAAGGCAAUGAUGGGUAGCUGGGUUGAGAGAGCGACCAGCCAGAUUGGGACUGAGACACGGCCCAGACUCCUACGGGAGGCAGCAGUGGGGAAUAUUGCACAAUGGGCGAAAGCCUGAUGCAGCGACGCCGCGUGCGGGAUGAAGGCCUUCGGGUUGUAAACCGCUUUCAGCAGGGACGAGGCGAAAGUGACGGUACCUGCAGAAGAAGCCCCGGCUAACUACGUG